rnacentral:rRNA from 1 species
GGCUUGCGGCAGCUACACAUGCAGUCGAGCGGUAACAGAUCCAGCUUGCUGGAUGCUGACGAGCGGCGGACGGGUGAGUAAUGCAUAGGAAUCUGCCCGAUAGUGGGGGAUAACCUGGGGAAACCCAGGCUAAUACCGCAUACGUCCUACGGGAGAAAGGGGGCUUCGGCUCCCGCUAUCGGAUGAGCCUAUGUCGGAUUAGCUAGUUGGUGAGGUAACGGCUCACCAAGGCCACGAUCCGUAGCUGGUCUGAGAGGAUGAUCAGCCACAUCGGGACUGAGACACGGCCCGAACUCCUACGGGAGGCAGCAGUGGGGAAUAUUGGACAAUGGGGGGAACCCUGAUCCAGCCAUGCCGCGUGUGUGAAGAAGGCCCUCGGGUUGUAAAGCACUUUCAGCGAGGAAGAACGCCUAGCGGUUAAUACCCGCUAGGAAAGACAUCACUCGCAGAAGAAGCACCGGCUAACUCCGUGCCAGCAGCCGCGGUAAUACGGAGGGUGCAAGCGUUAAUCGGAAUUACUGGGCGUAAAGCGCGCGUAGGUGGCUUGAUAAGCCGGUUGUGAAAGCCCCGGGCUCAACCUGGGAACGGCAUCCGGAACUGUCAAGCUAGAGUGCAGGAGAGGAAGGUAGAAUUCCCGGUGUAGCGGUGAAAUGCGUAGAGAUCGGGAGGAAUACCAGUGGCGAAGGCGGCCUUCUGGACUGACACUGACACUGAGGUGCGAAAGCGUGGGUAGCAAACAGGAUUAGUCCCC